UAUGGUAAUUGUCCGCGGUAAUACGUAUGGUGCAAGCGUUAUCCGGAUUUACUGGGUGUAAAGGGAGCGCAGGCGGUGCGGCAAGUCUGAUGUGAAAGCCCGGGGCUCAACCCCGGUACUGCAUUGGAAACUGUCGUACUAGAGUGUCGGAGGGGUAAGCGGAAUUCCUAGUGUAGCGGUGAAAUGCGUAGAUAUUAGGAGGAACACCAGUGGCGAAGGCGGCUUACUGGACGAUAACUGACGCUGAGGCUCGAAAGCGUGGGGAGCAAACAGG
rnacentral:rRNA from 1 species